GCUCUGCAACUGUGGUGAAAGUUUAAAAAAAUUCUGUAGUGUGUGAUUUUUUUAAAAGCGAAAAAUUUAUUGCGAAAUUUCCACACUACCGAUUUUUUUAAAAUUUGAAAUUUAUAAAAUUUACCGCAAAAUAAAUUCGUGGUCAAAAUUUGAAGAUAGGUCACCGAUGAAACUAACGAGUAAAAUGCAAAUAAAGUUAAAAAAUAGCCUCGUGUAACUCGAGAAAUUCCCCUAUUGAAAAGCGUCGCUGACUAGUAAAAGAUUGUACGCGGGCGCAGAACGAGUUUUCAUUCAGCAAAAUCGAGCCGCAAUGUUGUUUUUACUGUUUUGUUUUUGUCAACUUUUUGAUUUAUUUGAGUGCUAUGGACAGCCAAGGAUUAUUUUGAAGGAUUAAAUCGAUGAAAACAAGGUUGAAGCUAAUUGAAUCCUGCCGUUUACUCAAUCUAUGAGCUGUAACAGCCUAUUAACAGGUGGACGUGUUUUUUUGUUUCAUGUUUGGUUUUGUACUUUUUGCUAAAAAUGAAC
rnacentral:lncRNA from 1 species